CUCUGCUCAGGGUCGCACCUAGAGAGUUUCCAGUACUCUACCAGUCUCAGCUACAGAAGGGAAAAUCAAGCAGAGGUCUACCCAUUCCAUUCCUAGCUUGGGCAGUGGCUAGCAAGUGGAAGGCAAUCUGCUACAUGU